rnacentral:rRNA from 1 species
AGUGAAUAGAUACCCAGGUAGUCCCAGCCGUAAACGAUGCUCGCUAGGUGUCAGGCAUGGCGCGACCGUGUCUGGUGCCGCAGGGAAGCCGUGAAGCGAGCCACCUGGGAAGUACGGCCGCAAGGCUGAAACUUAAAGGAAUUGGCGGGGGAGCACAACAACGGGUGGAGCCUGCGGUUUAAUUGGACUCAACGCCGGACAACUCACCGGGGGCGACAGCAAUAUGUAGGCCAAGCUGAAGACUUUGCCUGAAUCGCUGAGAGGAGGUGCAUGGCCGUCGCCAGUUCGUACUGUGAAGCAUCCUGUUAAGUCAGGCAACGAGCGAGACCCGUGCCCACUGUUACCAGCAUGUCCUGGUAC